rnacentral:rRNA from 1 species
GGUUCGAUUCUGGUUCAGAUUGAAUGCCGGCGGAUGCUUACACAUGCAAGUCGAACGGCAGCACGGACUUCGGGUCUGGUGGCGAGUGGCGAACGGGUGAGUAAUGUAUCGGAACGUGCCUAGUAGCGGGGGAUAACUACGCGAAAGCGUAGCGAUUACUGCAUACGCCCCUUCGGGGAAAGCGGGGACCUUCGGCCCUCGCGGCACUAUUAGAGCGGCCGAUAACGGAUUAGCCAGUUGGUGGGGUAACGGCUCACCAAGGCGACGAUCCGUAGCCGGUUUGAGAGGACGACCAGCCACACUGGGACUGGAGACACGGCCCAGACUCCUACGGGAGGCAGCAGUGGGGAAUUUUGGACAAUGGGGAAACCUCUGAUCCAGCCAUCAUCCCGCGUGUGCGAUGAAGGCCUUCGGGUUGUAAAGCACUUUUGGCAGGAAAAGAAACGCACGGAUAAUACCCCGUGCAACUGACGGUACCCGCAGAAUAAGCACCGGCUAACUACGCCGUGCCAGCAGCCGCGGUAAUACGCAGGGUGCAAGCGUUAAUCGGAAUUUACUGGGCGUAAAGCGUAAGUGCAGGCGGUUCGGGAAAGAAAGAUGAACCUGUGAGCUAAUCCUUCUCGAACUUACUUUUAACUACCGAGCUAGAGUGUGUCAGAGGGAGGUAAAUUCCGCGGUAGCAGUGAAAUGCGUAGAUAUGCGGAGGAACACCGAUGGCGAAGGCAGCCUCUGAUAACACUGACGCUCAUGCACGAAAGCGUGGGGAGCAAACAGGAUUAGAGGCCCCGGUAGUCCACGCCCUCUAAACGAUGUCAAUCUAGCUGUUGGGGCCUUUCGGGCCUUGGUAGCGCAGCUAACGCGUGAAGUUGACCGCCUGGGGAGUACGGUCGCAAGAUUAAACUCAAAGGAAUUGACGGGGACCCGCACAAGCGGUGGAUGAUGUGGAUUAAUUCGAUGUAACGCGAAAAACCUUACCUACCCUUGACAUGUCUGAAUCCCGAAGAGAUUUGGGGAGUGCUCGCAAGAGAACCGAAACACAGGUGUUGCAUGGCUGUCGUCAGCUCGUGUCGUGAGAUGCUGGGUUAAGUCCCGCAACGAGCGCAACCCUGUCAUUAGUUGCCACGAAAGGGCACUCUGACGAGACUGCCGGUGACAAACCGGAGGAAGGGGAUGACGUCAAGUCCUCAUGGCUCCUUAUGGGUAGGGCUUCACACGUCAUGCAAUGGUCGGGACAGAGGGUCGCCAACCCGCGAGGGGGAGCCAACCUAGAAACCUGAUCGUAGUCCGGAUCGCAGUCUGCAACUCGACUGCGUGAAGUCGGAAUCGCCAGUAAUCGUGGAUCAGCAUGUCGCGGUGAAUACGUUCCCGGGUCUUGUACACACCGCCCGUCACACCAUGGAGUGGGUUUUACCAGAAGUAGUUAGCCUAACCGUAAGGAGGGAAGAUUACCACGGUAGGAUUCAUGACUGGGGUGAAGUCAACAAGGUAG